rnacentral:pre_miRNA from 1 species
AGUGGGAUUUCUGGGUAAAAUGGUGGUUGCAUUACAAGUUUUUGAGGAAUCUUCAUACUGUUUUCCAGAGUAGUUGCACCAAUUUGCAGUUCCACCAACAAU